rnacentral:rRNA from 1 species
GUGGGGAAUCUUAGACAAUGGGGGAAACCCUGAUCUAGCCAUGCCGCGUGAGCGAUGAAGGCCUUAGGGUUGUAAAGCUCUUUCAGAUGGGAAGAUAAUGACGGUACCAUCAGAAGAAGCCCCGGCUAACUCCGUGCCAGCAGCCGCGGUAAUACGGAGGGGGCUAGCGUUGUUCGGAAUUACUGGGCGUAAAGCGCACGUAGGCGGACCAGAAAGUCAGAGGUGAAAUCCCAGGGCUCAACCUUGGAACUGCCUUUGAAACUCCUGGUCUUGAGGUCGAGAGAGGUGAGUGGAAUUCCAAGUGUAGAGGUGAAAUUCGUAGAUAUUCGGAGGAACACCAGUGGCGAAGGCGGCUCACUGGCUCGAUACUGACGCUGAGGUGCGAAAGCGUGGGGAGCAAACAGGAUUAGAAACCCGAGUAGUCC